CUGCGGGAGAAAUGGCGGAGCGGGAGCCGCUGUGGGGGCGCCCGGGAAGGCCGUUGGGGGGCGCCCGGCGAGGCCGGCGGGGGUCGGCGUCCCGGCUCUGUACCCAGUCCGCCGGAGGCCUACUUUAAGGCUGGCCAAUUCUGCAAGAAAGGCAAGGAGGAGGAGACUGGCUCACAGCUCUGGAGGACCCCCUUCUGUCAGCUGUGGGGCUUGACACCACUUGAACAAGAAAAGGAGGGGGAAACUGCACCACAUCAGUGAAGCCGAGUGGUCCUCCAGAGCAAAGGCCAGCCUUCCUUCCAGCUGUCUGGCCAAGGAGCUUCAGGAUCUUCUAGCAAGCACCCCAGAGGCAGAAGACUGUCAUCCAUGGUACAGGACUGCGGCGAACAAGCUGACUGCGCAGUCACGUGGGGCUGACGGUGGGUCAUGUGACCAGGCUCUGCAUUAGGCCUGCCGAGAGGAGUGUUUUCUUGCAUCCAGAAAAGACCUGAGAGGCGGACGACACCUGUGCUCCGCAGAGCAGAACGUGGGAGGAACGGCGGGAUGUUAAGGUAGGAGCUCAAGAAGCAGAGAGUCUACCUGCCCGACGCGUUCGUGGAGAGGAGCAGCGGUUGCUGUUGGAGGAGGUGGGUGCAAGGACGGCAGAUGGCAUCCCUGAGAGGUGGUGACUGAGACUAGAUGCGGGUGCAGGAACUCAGAGUGGUUUUCCAGAUGGGAAUCACAUUGCUCUCUGUCCCUGAGAUCUUGCUGGAGACAGGGCUACUCAGUCCCUCUUUGCCAGGUAAUCUGUUCCAGAAGAAACAUGUGUCGUUCUGACUGAGCCCCUGCCUGUCUGUCACCUUAAGAGCCAGUCAAUUCAUAUGGUCCCCAUAUCAAAGUCUCCUGUGCCCAGAGAGAGGAUUUCAUUUCAACCAUCACCAUCACCACCAUCAUCAUCAUCACCAAGAGAUGUUGUUGAAUUGAUACUGGAAAAGCAGUUUCUAUUGAGCCCCCAAAUGAAGAGUGAGUGCAGAUGAAGAGGAGGCAGGACUCACAAGCCCUUGAACUUUAUUCCAGAUCUGUUAGCACCUACAGGACCCUGCACCAGGAUUUCAUCUGUACUAUCAGCUUCUUCAAAGAGAGAGAGGUUGUUGAGCUCAGAAGUGACAAAAGAGAAUUAUCAGGAUGGCAGUCCUUAUAACCAGAUGCUUAUCAACAUUCUUCACUACAUUCUGAAGAUGAAUUUCUACAAGGGAAAUUGUUUAUAUUUGUUGUUGGGGAUAGAUAAGGAAAGAAGAAAAAGGCUCUGGUGAGAAACCCAUUGUACCUUCUGGAUAUGAUCACUACCCAAUUUUAUCAGUGUCAUUGAUCACUAACCCAGUGCCUCGUAUGGUGCCAGGCACAGAGUUACUCCAAGAAUGUACAAUAAUGGCUGGAUUCUCUUUCUCCCUGUGCAACUCUUCAUGCAUGUGACUGAACUUAUAUUAAGUGUCUGAAGGAGGUUCGUUCUGAGGAUCUGGGACAUGAUGGGUGCUGAAGCUUCUACUCAAGAUUUGAAGGGCAGCUGUCCUCAGGAGACCCCUGGCACUUCCCUCCAUGGUGGGAUGUGAUGCCUGAUUCCAGUGAGUUCAUAGAGCUGAACAAAAGUACGUUGUGGAAUAGCUCCUGUGAGGUUCACAACAUAGUCCGGAAGAUGAGAAACUACUUUUUUUAGUAACCUGGAUUCCCAUCUAAGAGAUGCCUUACUUUAUCGUAAAGCAAUGAGUUGUUCACUUGAGGAGGGAACUUCAUGUUUAACAUGUAUUUGCAACAAAUUUACAUACAUUUUCUGCCUGUAUGAAUAGUUGUCAGUGAUGCCCAUGAAUUUCUCAGAUGGAUGUUGAAGUAUACAGUUAGAAGGUUAGAAGAUCUUCCUAGCAAUCUGUGAUUACGGGAGGCAGCAGAUGGCUGAAAUUCUGAUCCGAUGUGGCUGGUUAAUGCAUGAUCUGAAAACCCCUGCACUGGUGAUUUUGGGACAGAUCUAGAAUAUACCAAUAAAUAUAUUAACAUACCAAGUAGUCUAGGAGCAGCCACUGGGCGAACACCAAACCUUGCAUCCCUGCUGCUGUCUCUGAGCUCAGCAGACACGUCUUUGCAGAAGAGUUCUAUAAUGGUGGUACAAUGGUGCCCCCUCGUGACAGAAGCUUGAACUACAGCUUGAACAUCGAGAUGAAAAUAUACUGUCUACGUUGUUCAACACAAUAGCUAAUGGCAACUGUGGCAGUUGAACACCCGAAACGUGAUGAAUGUGACUGAGGAACUGAACUUUUAGUUUCAUUGUGACAUGAUGAAUGAAUUUAUUGAGCCCCAGGAAGAAGGAAAAUUAAAGAAGAGCAAAGAAUAAUAGCUGGACAGAAGAUGGGGGUCAUUGAACCUAUAUCCUAGUUGCCAGACCAGUAAACUGACCAUGGGACCUGGGGGAGGCAGCAGAUGACCGAAAACCUGGAGUGAUGUGGCUGAAUACCGCAUGAUCUGAAGACUGCACUGGUGGCUGCGAUAAAUGCAUGGGGGCAAGAUGGCAGAUAGGAGGCAGGACCAGCUUGCAGCUCCUGCUGAGAUGGACAGAGCAGCAUGUGGAGACUCGUACUGUAAACCUUUGCUCCAAGAAGUACUGCAGGAACAUACCAGGAAAGCUGAGAGAAUCCACAGACCCUUUGAAGAAACUGGAUCACUGUUGCAGGCCCCCUGAGAUGCCGAAAAACUGUGAGUCUGCUUGCUUUGUCAGUGGGGAAGCUGGUGGUCUGGGACAAGUUCUCAGCCCUGGUCACUGGUUGCCCUGAAAUAGACUCGGUGCUGUUGUAGGGCACAGUGGGAAUGACACCAGCCUUUAGGGCUGCAGGCUGCAUGGGAGCAGGGUGAGGCCCAUGACCGCUGACUUUCCCCCACUUGCUGGCAAACUGUAUGGUUCAGCAGAAGCAGCCAUAAUCCCCCUGGGAAUAUAACUCCAUUGGACCAGACACCACACCCCCAUCCCCCACAGCAGUCACAGCAAGCCACACCCAAGGAGAGGCUGAGCUCAGCCAUGCCUAUCCCUGCCCCUACCGGGUGGUCUUUCUCUACACACCCUGGUAGACAAAGACCAAGGUCAUAAUCUCUUGGGAGUUCUAUGGCCCUGCCCACCGCCUGAGAAAUCUGAAUACUUAACCAGCUGUCCCUAGGGAAAGUUGGCAUCCUCUCUGCAGGACCACAACUGAUGCACUCUUGAAAUCACCACCUCCUAGCUGGAGGCCAACCAACACAAAACUAGCACACUAAACCAAAAUACAACCAAGGACCCUUACAGAGUCCACUUCACUCCCCUGCUACCUCCACUGGCUGCAAAACCUGAAGAUGGAUCACAUCACAGGACUCUUUGCAGACACUCCCCAGUACCAGCCCGGAGCCCAGUAGCUCCACUGGGUGGCUAGACCCAGAAGAGCAAAAACAAUCAUGACACUUUGGCCCUCAGGAAGCCGCAUUUAUAGGGGAAGGGGGAGAACACCACAUCAAGGGAGCACCCCAUGGGACAAAAGAAUCUGAACAGCAGCUCUUGAAUUCCAGAUCUUCCCUCUGACAUAGUCUACCCAAAUGAGAAAGAGCGAGAAAAAAAUUUCUGCUAAUACGACAAAACAAGUUUCUUUAACACCCCCGAAACAUUGCACUAGCUCACCAGCAAUGGAUCCAAACUAAGAUGAAAUCUUGGAAUAGCCAGAAAAAGAAUUCAGAAGGUUGAUUAUUAAGCUAAUAAAAGAGGCAGCAGAGAAAGAUGAAGUCCAACUUAAAUAAAUCAAAAACGUGAUGCAGGAUAUGAAAGGAAAAUUAUUCAGUGAAACAGCAUAAAUUAAAAAAAAAACAAUUACAAUUUCGAGAAAUCGGGGAACAUAUAGAGAAAUGCAAAACGCACUGGAAAGUCUCAGCAAUCAAUCGAACAAGCAGAAGAAAGAACUUCAGAGCUCAAAGACAGGCUUUCAAAUUAACCCAAUCCAUCAAAGACAAAGAAAAAAGAAUUUUAGGCUGGGUGUGGUGGCUCACGCCUGUAAUCCCAGCACUUUGGGAGGCCGAGGCAGGUGGAUCACGAGGUCAGGAGAUCGAGACCAUCCUGGCAAACACGGUGAAACCCUGUCUCUACUAAAAAUACAAAAAAAAAAAAAAUUAGCCGUCAUAGUGGCAGGUGCCUGUAGUCCCAGCUACUCAGGAGGCUGAGGCAGGAGAAUGGCGUGAACCCGGGAGGUGGAGCUUGCAGUGAGCCAAGAUCGCGCUACUGCACUCUAGCCUGGGCGACAGAGCAAAACUCCGUCUCAAAAAAAAAAAAAAAAAAAAAGAAUUGUAAAAAAAAUGACUAAAGCAUCCAAGAAGUUUGAGACUAUGUUAAAUGUCGAAACCUAAGAAUAAUUAGUGUUCCUAAGGAAGAAGAGAAAUCUAAAAGUUUGGAAAACGUAUUUGAGGGAAUAAUCAAAGAAAACUUCCCUGGCCUUGCUAGAGAUCUGGAGAAAUACAAGAAGUUCAAAGAACACCUGGGAAAUUCAUUGCAAAAAAGAUCAUUGCCUAGGCACAUAGUCAUCAAGUUAUCUAAAGUCAAGACAAAGGAAAGAAUCCUAAGAGCUAUGAGGCAAAAGCAUCAGGUAAUCUAUAAAGGAAAACCUAUCAGAUUAACAGCAGAUUUUUCAGCAGAAACCCUACAAGCUAGAAUGAAUUUGGGUCCUAUUUUUAGCCUCCUUAAGCAAAACAAUUAUCAGCCACGAAUUUUGUAUCCAGAGAGAAACUAAGCUUCAUAAAUGAAGGAAAGAUACAGUCUUUCCCAGACAAACAAAUGCUGAGAGAAUUCACUACUACUAAGCCAGCAGUACAAGAACUGCUAAAAAGAGCUCUAAAUAUUAAAAUAAAUCCUUAAAAUAUACCAAAAUAGAAUCUCCCUAAAGCAUAAAUCUCACAGGACCUAUAUGACAAUAACACAGUCCAAAAUAUAUGUAUGUAUGUAUAUAUAUAUGCAGGCAACAAAUAGCACAAUGAAUAAAAUAGUACUUCAUCUCAGUACUAACAUUGAAUGUAAAUAGCCUAAAUGCUCCACUUAAAAGAUACAGAAUGGCAGAAUGGAUAAGAAUUCACCAACCUAGUUUCUGCUGUCUUCAGGAGAUUCACGUAACACAUAAGGACUCACAUAAACUUAAGGUAAAGGGAUAGAAAAAUAUAUUCCAUGCAAAUGGACACCAAAAGUGAGCAAGAGUAGCUAUUCUCACAUCAGACAAAACAAACUUUAAGGCAACAGCAGUUAAAAAAGACAGAGGGACAUUAUAUAAUGAUAAAAGGACUAGUCCAACAGGAAAAUAUCACAAUUCUGAAUAUAUAUGCACCUAACACUGGACCUUUUGAUUUAUAAAACAGUUACUACUAGACCUAAGAAAUGAAAUAAACGGCAACACAAUAAAAGUGGGAGACUUUAAUACUUCACUGACAGCACUAGACAGGUCAUCAAGACAGAAAGUCAACAAAGAAACAAUGUACUUAAACUAUACCUUAUAACAAAUGGACUUAACAGAUAUUUACAGAACAGUCUACCCAACAACUACAGAAUAUAUAUUCUAUUCAUCAGUACAUGGAACAUUCUCCGAGAUAGACCACAUGAAAGGCCACAAAACAAGUCUCAGUAAAUUUAAGAAAAUCGAAAUUAUAUCGAGUACUCUCUCAGACCACAAUGGAAUAAAAUUGGAAAUCAACUCCAAAAGGAACCUUAAAAACCAUGCAAAUACAUGGAAAUUAAAUAACUUGCUCCUGAGUGAUCGUUGUGUCAACAAUGAAAUCAAGAUGGAAAUUUAAAAAUUCUUUGAAUUGAAAGAUAAUAGUGACACAACCUAUCAAAACCUCUGAGAUACAGCAAAAGCAGUGCUAACAGGAUAGUUCAUAGCAUUGAAUGCCUACAUCAAAAAGUCUGAAAGAGCACAAAUAGACAAUCUAAGAUCAUACCUCAUGGAACUAGAGAAACAAGAACAAUCUAAACCCAAACCCAGGAGAAGAAAAGAAAUAACGAAGAUCAGAGCAGAACUAAAUGAAAUUGAAACAAACAAAAACAAUACAAAAGAUAAAUGAAACAAAAAGCUGGUUCUUUGAAAAGAUAAAUAAAACUGAUAGACCAUUAGCAAGAUUAACCAAGAAGAGAGAAGUUUCAAAUAAGCUCAAUUAGAAAUGAAAUGGGAGAUAUUACAACUGAUAUCACAGAAAUACAAAAGAUUAUUCAAGGCUACUAUGAACACGUUUAUGUGCAUAAACUAGAAAACUUACAAGAGAUGGAUAAAUUCCUGGAAAUAUACAACCCUCCUAGAUUAAACCAGGAAGAGAUUGAAAUAGUAAUACAAAGAUUGCCAAUAACUAAAAAAUAAGUUCAGAACCAGACAGAUUCACAGCUGAAUUCUAUCAGACAUUCAAAGAAUUGGUACCAAUCCUAUUGACACUAUUCCAAAAGAUAGAAAAAGAGAGAAUCCUCCCCCAAAUCAUUCUAUGAAGCCAGUUUCACCAUAAUAUCAAAACCAGGGAAGGACAUAACAAAAAAGAAAGCUACAGACCAAUAUCCCUGAUGAACAUAGAUGCAAAAAUCCUCAAGAAAAUACUAAUGAACCAAAUUCAACAACAUAUCAAAAAGAAAAUCCACCAUGAUCAAGUGGGUUUCAUGCCAUUAAUGCAGGGAUGAUUUAAUAUACACAAGUAAUAAAUGUGAUAGAGCACAUACACAGAUUUAAAACAAAAAUCACAUGAUCAUCUCAAUAGAUGCAGAAAAAAGCAUUUGACAAAAUCCAGCAUCCCUUUAUGAUUAAAACCCUCAGCAAAAUCGGCAUAAAGGGGACAUACCUUAGAGUAAUAAAAGCCAUCUACAACACAAACAAAGGGAAACGCAUCCCAUGCUCAUGGAUGGGUACAUAUGGAACCAAAAAAGAGCCCAAAUAGCCAAAGCAAGACAAAAAAAAAAAAAAAAUAGGCGCAUAGACCAAUGGAACAGAAUAGAGAACCCAAAAAUAAAGCCAAAUACAGCCAACUGAUCUUUAACAAAGCAAACAAAAACAUGAAGUGGAGAAAGGACACCCUAUUCAACAAAUGGUGCUGGGAUAAUUGGCAAGCCACAUGUAGAAGAAUGAAACUGGAUCCUCAUCUCUCACCUUAUACAAAAAUCAACUCAAGAUGGAUCAAAGACUUAAAUCUAACACCCAUAAAGAUUCUAGAAGAUAAUAUUAGAAAAACCCUUCUAGACAUUGGCUUAGGCAAAGACUUCAUGACCAAGAACCCAAAAGCAAAUGCAACAAAAACAAGAAUAAAUAGAUGGGACUUAAUUAAACUACAAAGCUUCUGCACAGCAAAAGAAAUAAUCAGCAGAGUUAACAGACAACCUACAGAGUGGGAGAAAAUCUUCACAAUCUAUACAUCUGACAAAGGACUAUUAUCCAGAAUCUACAAAUAACUCAAAUCAACAAGAAAAAACAAAACAAAACAAAAUAAAAAUAUCAAAAAGUGGGCUAAGGACAUGAAUAGACAAUUCUCAAAAGAAGAUAUACAAAUGGCCAGCAAGCAUAUGGAAAAAUGCUCAACAUCACUAGUGAUCAGGGAAAUGCAUAUCAAAACCACAAUGCAACACCAUCUUAUAACUGCAAGAAUGGCCAUAAUAAAAAAAUAAAAAAAUAAUAGAUGUUUGAGUAAGGUGGGGUGAAAAGGGAACACUUUUACACUGCUGGUGGGAGUGUAAACUAAUACAACCACUGUGGAAAACAGUGUGGCGAUUCGUUAAAGAACUAAAAGUAGAUCUCCCGUUUGAUCCAGCAAUCCCACUACUGGGUAUCUACCCAGAAGAAAAUAAGUCAUUAUACAAAAAAGAUACUUGCACACACGUUUAUAGCAGCACAAUUUGCAAUUGCAAAAAUAUGGAACCAACCCAAAUGCCCAUCAAUCAAUGAGUGGAUAAAGAAAAUGUGAGAUAUAUAUAUAUAUAUUAUAUAUAUAUAUAUGAAUACUACUAAGCCAUAAAAAAAAGAAAUAAUGGCAUUCGCAGCAACCUGGAUGGAAUUGGAGAUUAUUAUUCUAAGUGAAGUAACUCAGGAAUGGAAAACCAAACAGUGUAUGUUCUCACUCAUGUGGGAGCUAAGCUAUGAGGACGCAAAGGCAUAAGAAUGAUACAUUGGUCUUUGGGGACUCAGGGGAAACAGUGGGGAGUGUUGAGGGAUAAAAGACUAUACAUUGGGUACAGUGUACACUGCUUGGGUGAAGGGUGUGCCGAAAUCUCAGAAAUCACCGCUGAAUAACUUAUUGAUGUAAACAAACACCACCUGUUCCCCAAAAACCUAUUUAGAUAAAAAAAAAUUAAAAAAAGUAAAAGUAUUUUGAUUUCAUCAUCUUGAUAUAAAAUUUUUAAGUGUCUGGGGCUUAAAGAUACUCUUUCAAAAACUUAUAAAGAAAUUAUUACUGAAAUAUUUGUACAUAUGAGCAAGAGUGUUAUAUAUACCAUUGUCUGUAAUAGAAACUAUGGUAAGGGAACUAAAUUUUCACCACUAGGUUACUGUGGAAAUAAACUUUAGGAUAUCAUAUAAAUGAAACACUGGGUCCAUAAAAAAUAUUGAUAUUAUGUUGUAAUUUCAAAUGUUAUCAUAGAAAUGUAUUUCCAUGAAAAGAUAGUAAUAAAGAUGUAAAGAGGGUUACAAAGAUAACAAGUAGCCUGGAUCCCUUUUUUCUUAUAUAGGUCUCUAUUUAUCC
rnacentral:lncRNA from 1 species